GGCCUGAUAGCACAACUGGUUAGUGCACCUGCAAUGAAUAUUUCAAUUAUUUCAUUCUGCAGAAGAUCCCUGUUCGAAUCAGGGUCAGGCCA